GACGUAGGGCGCGAGCGUUGUUCGGAAUUAUUGGGCGUAAAGGGCGCGUAGGCGGUGCGGUAAGUCACCUGUGAAAUCUCCUGGCUCAACUGGGAGCUUGCAGGCGAAACUGCCGUGCUGGAGUGUGGGAGAGGUGCGUGGAAUUCCGGUGUAGCGGUGAAAUGCGUAGAUAUGCGGAGGAACACCGAUGGCGAAGGCAAUCCCCUGGACCUGUACUGACGCUCAUGCACGAAAGGCGUGGGGAGCAAACAGG
rnacentral:rRNA from 1 species